UACCGCGGUGAAUACGUUCUCAAGUCUUGUACUCACCGCCCGUCAACUCAAGGAAGCCGGGAAUACCCGAAGUUCCCCUCUGGGGGACCACGGUAAGCUCGGUGACAGGGAGU
rnacentral:rRNA from 1 species